rnacentral:rRNA from 1 species
GUGUCAGCCGCCGCGGUAAUACGUAGGGUGCGAGCGUUAAUCGGAAUUACUGGGCGUAAAGCGUGCGCAGGCGGUCUUGCAAGACAGGUGUGAAAUCCCCGGGCUUAACCUGGGAACUGCACUUGUGACUGCAAGGCUGGAGUACGGCAGAGGGGGAUGGAAUUCCGCGUGUAGCAGUGAAAUGCGUAGAUAUGCGGAGGAACACCGAUGGCGAAGGCAAUCCCCUGGGCCUGUACUGACGCUCAUGCACGAAAGCGUGGGGAGCAAACAGGAUUAGAUACCCUGGUAGUCC